GCGAGGCUAGCGUGUUUUGAUUUUAAAUAAAAUUGAUUGAUGAUGAUGAUGAUUACGUGUUCCGCAUACUGCACUAUAUAAUAUGGGUUACUGAGAAUCGACCAUGCAUUUGUAAGAUGUUGCGACCUUAACAUAGGUGGGAGCAUUACAGUAAUCGAACUCAUAAUCCCAUAUACUUUAAAAAGAAAACCAUUAUGUCUAUUUGAACAACAACAAUUUACAAAUUACAAUGAUCUUGUGAUGGGGUGCGAGUGUGGGACGUGAUAAGUAGAUACGAAGAGUAGGUCAUCGGUCUAUCUGAAACAAGCGAGCAAUUUCUUCGACGUUCACUUUUUUAUUUUUGAUGAAGACGAACAAUCUACUCUUCGUAUCUACUAAUUUACAUAAUUAAUAUAUACAUAUAGACAGUUUUUUUGCGUCAUUUUGAGCUAAAGUGAGAUGAGCUCCGAUAUGCGAUGACAUGCACAUUCCUAAUUAAUUGCAUUUCUUUUCAUUUUUAUUUGGUAUACACUAGCCGGAUUUAUAUUAGAACACGGAUUUCCGUCUGAGACGGAGAACUCGUCUAAGACGGAUUUUCGUCUUAAUAUAAAUUCGGUAAACGACGGGUUCUCCGUCUUAAUUUUUCCGUCCAACUUUUCCGUCUAAACGACGGAUAAGUUGGACGGGUUAUUCGUCUUAGACGGAAAACUCGUCUUAAAUUUACAUUAGACGAAUAAAUCAGACAGAUUUUAGCUGACAACAUUUGGUAUUAGUGGUAAUUGGCGUUUCACGAUGUUUUACGAUGCACAGCAUAUAAAAUCUUUUGGCUGUCUUUUAGUUUUGCGUCCUAAAUUAUUUCUAUUAGACGGAAAUCCGUCAGACGAGUUCUCCGUCUCAGACAGAAAUCCGUCUUCUAAUAUAAAUUCGGCUACUGAUGUGUUAUAAUUGCAGUAGGGACAUACAGUAGGGAUAUAAAACUUUUUUCAUGUUAAAGAGACGCGUGAUCUCUCGUUAGUAGCGAAGCCAGCCCGAAAAUUUGGUCAUGCUAUAUGCAAAUUUAAAAUCGUUAUUCAUUUCUUUAGAAAUUGACUGUUUUUACAGUCUAUGAACACGAAAAUAUUUGCAUAGCGUAACCACUGAAAUAGUCGGGCUGGCUUCGCCACAGUCUAUCAUAAAUGUAACUUUUCUGGUUUAUUACAAACAAUAACCAAAGUACAAAUAUCAACUAAAAAGUACAAGCUCUCCAACUCGAAGUUUUCCAAUUUCUUUAGUUUUUCUUCAUGUUUCAUGAUAGCAAAGUGUUAUAAAUACUCUUUCUUGGGAGAAUAUUGUUGUCCAAAUAACUUUCGUGUGGGUGAGAAAUCACACUGUGACAAACGCUGAAAUAAAAAUGUAAAGAUUUGUUUGUAUUGUUAACGACGUCCAUUAAUUGAUGCGCAUUGUAUAUAUGCUUAAUUUUUUAAUCAAACUGUAUUUAAAGCGUGCACUUAUUGUACCGGUAUAAGAGAUGCAAAAGGAGAACGAAUGGAUGGUUUUGGGGACACA
rnacentral:lncRNA from 1 species